rnacentral:rRNA from 1 species
AGUGAACGCUGGCGGUAGGCCUAACACAUGCAAGUCGAACGGCAGCACAGUAAGAGCUUGCUCUUACGGGUGGCGAGUGGCGGACGGGUGAGGAAUACAUCGGAAUCUACUUUUUCGUGGGGGAUAACGUAGGGGAACUUACGCUAAUACCGCAUACGACCUACGGGUGAAAGCAGGGGAUCUUCGGACCUUGCGCGAUUGAAUGAGCCGAUGUCGGAUUAGCUAGUUGGCGGGGUAAAGGCCCACCAAGGCGACGAUCCGUAGCUGGUCUGAGAGGAUGAUCAGCCACACUGGAACUGAGACACGGUCCAGACUCCUACGGGAGGCAGCAGUGGGGAAUAUUGGACAAUGGGCGCAAGCCUGAUCCAGCCAUACCGCGUGGGUGAAGAAGGCCCUCGGGUUGUAAAGCCCUUUUGUUGGGAAAGAAAAGCAGCAGGUUAAUACCCCGCUGUUCUGACGGUACCCAAAGAAUAAGCACCGGCUAACUUCGUG